rnacentral:lncRNA from 1 species
GUUCCCAGGGUAAGUGUUGAAUUAGAGCUGUAGCUGCCGGCCCGCACCACAGCCAUAGCAAUGCCAGAUCUGAGCCGCAACUGUGACCCACAAUGCAGCUCACAGCAAUGCCAGAUCCUUAAUCCACUGAGCGAGGCCAGGGAUCAAACCUGCAACCUCAUGGAUACUAGUUGGGCUCAUUACCACUGAGCCACAAUGGGAACUCCCCAGAAAUAGUCUUAAUCUAGUUUCGAGAUUUGGUUUGCUGCGUAAGUGAUCAUCUGUUAGAAAAUCUGUGACAUAAUUUGAAGACUAAGAAAUACUCCCAACAGAUAAAACAGUGAGGAAUUUCUGGAAGAUGAGAUAAGUACAGGUGGAUGGGGCAACCCCUAUGAAAGCGAGGACAAAUACUCCCCACCGAGCAAAAGAAAGACGUUCCCCCCAAAUUAGUUUUCUGAACAAAACUUUGGAAAUCCCCAGAGAUAAGAAGCAGUGAGAAAGACAGUCAGAAUAUUAAGGUCAUUGCUCAUCCGUCUCCUUAGAGACCAGACUAUCCUGACAUUUAGGAUAAAGCCCUGUGCCUUAGUCCGGUUGGGUUACUAUAGCAAAAGCACCAGAGACGGGGUGCCAUCUAAACAAUGUAUUUCUUGCGGUUCUGGCACCAGCAGAUUCCAUGCUGGCAAGGGCCAGCUGCCGGAUCCAUCACCAUCUUGCUUGAGUUCCCACAUGGCAGAAGGGGUGAGGGAGCCCCUGGGGUCUCCUACAGGCACUAAUCCCAUUCAUGAAAGCUCCACUCUCAGGACCUAAUUGCCUCCCAAAGGCCCCACCCGCCAAUACCACCGCUUUGGGGAUUGAGAUUUCAGCACAAGAGUGGGGAUGGGGCGGGGGAUGGAAAAUAUAAAGUUUGUACCGUUGUACCUUGAGAAUCGUUCACAGAGUUCAGACACUUGACAAAAACAUCAAAGACCAACAACGUUCACAAAAGGCGCAACACUGAGCAAAAGGAGAACUGAAAGCCAAGGAAACAGGUAACAGUUAAUACACUAGAUCAGGAGUCAGCAAACCACAGGCCAAAUCCAGCCCAAUACCUGCUCCAGAAAGAAUGGUUUGGUUUUUGUUUGUUUGUUUGUCUUUUUAAGGCUGAACGUGUGGCAUAUAGAGGUUCCCAGGCUAGGGGUCAAAUUGGAGCUGUAGCCACCAACCUACACCACCAGCCACAACAACACCAUAUCUGAGCUUUGUCUGCAACCUACACCUCAGCUCACAGCAAUGCUGGAUACUUAACCCACUGAGUGUGGCCAGGGAUCAAACCUGCAUCCUCAUAGAUCUUAGAUUUGUUUCCACUGAGCCAUGACAGGAACUCUGAAAGAAUGGUUUUUACUAGUGACCACGUGCAACUGAUUUUAUGGUAGGGAAAAAACUUUGGACCCCAAUUAAUUGAAACGUAUCUCCCUUCCUCCCCACUCAAAGAAAUCCAUUCUUUUCACUAGUAGAUCUGUAUUACCAAAAAAUAUAUACUCAAUCAUUUUUAAAAAUUUUAUUUUCAUUUUAUUUCAUCAUUUAAAAAGUUGUGUAAGUGUGUGAAACUUGUGCGUUACAGAGCCUGGAUUUGAACCUAGGAAACCUGACCGUUCACACUACUGCCUCCCUAAAAAAUCAAGAGCUGCCUUCUGGCAAGACCGGUGGACUUGCUAGGCGAUGCUUUGAGCUCUGCUUGCAAGGAUUCCUGAAACCUCCCCACAAUCCUCUCCCCCUCCCGUGUACCUCUUUGCUCCAGGAGUAGUUACGUAUAGCGCCAUCUAGUGGAGCCAGUGCUAAUCUGGAGCCCGACUGGCCAAGUUCCCAUGCUGCCAUCAUUCCCUCCUUGGCUCUGCGCCUCAAUCUUCUGGGGCUUUUGGGGGCGCACCCACAGCAUGUGGCAGUUCCUGGAUCCCUAGGCCAGGGAUCGAACCUACACCACAGCAGUGACAACUGCCAGAUCCUUAACCACUCAGCCUCCAAGGAACUCUGCUGGCUUCGGUCUCUUAGUAGGCAGUCAAUAGACAUUGUUUCCCAGAAGAGACCUCCUGCAAUGGCUGCUGUCUCUGGCUGGUUCCUUGGGGCCGGGUUCGGCCAAGGGAGGCUUGAAAUACCAACUCAGGCAUGGUCCCCACAUUUUUUUUUUUUUUUUUUGGGCUAACCCUGUGGCAUAUGGAGGUUCCCAGGCCAGGGGUCCAAUCUGAGCUACAGCUGCUGGCCUAUGCCACAGCCACAGAACCGCGGAAUCCAAGCUGCAUCUGUGACCUACACCACAGCCCAUAGCAAUGCUGGAUCCUUAAUCCACUGAGCAAGGCCAGGGAUCGAACCCACAACCUCAGGGUUCCUAGUCAGAUUCGUUUCCACUGUGCCACGACGGGACUCCCAGGUGUCUUUUUUGCUAAGAACCACCAGCCUCACAUUGGCUGAGGGCCAGAACCAGCUACAUAAUUUGUGGGGCUCAUUUCAAAAUGAAAAUGGGGGUGCCCUUGUUCAAAAAUUAUUAGGAGGGAGUUCCCAUCAUGGCUCAGUGGAAACAAAUCCAACUAGUAUCCAUGAGGUUGCAGGUUCGAUCCCUUGCCUCGUUCAGUGGGUUAAGGAUCUGGCGUUGCCAUGAGCAGUGGUGUAGGCUGGAGGCUAUAGCUCCGAUUCAGCCCCUAGCCUGGGAACUUCCAUAUGCCACGGGUGCAGCCCUAAAAAGAAAAAAAAAAAUUAUUAGGAAUUUCAACAAGGCUAUAGCAGCAUUAAUGAAGUGAGGGGCCAGUCCGAGCCUGGGGGGCCCGACAUGGCUGCCCAGAUUGCAGGCCCAUGAAGCCCACCUUGCUGUGAGCUAGAUGCCACCCUAAAAUCUUAGCGGGAUCUCCCCUCAUUACACCUUCUCAAGAACCCAGCCUGGUGAGUGGUGGUAUCUCACAUUUUUUUAAAAAUGUUUUGUUUUUUUUUUGUCUUUUUUUGCUAUUUCUUUGGGCCACUCCCGCGGCAUAUCGAGGUUCCCAGGCUAGGGGUCAAAUUGGAGCUGUAGCCCCUGGCCUACGCCAGAGCCACAGCAACGCGGGAUCCGAGCCGCGUCUGCAACCUACACCACAGCUCACGGCAACGCCGGAUCCUUAACCCACGGAGCAAGGGCAGGGACCAAACCCGAAACCUCAAGGUUCCUGGUCGGAUUCCUUAACCACUGCGCCACGACGGGAACUCCCCAUUCAAGGAUUUUAAUGGAGCCCCAACCUAGUUCCCCGAGGCCAUGACAAACCUCCAGUGUUGCUACAGAGACAGCACCAGCCCACACCCUGCUCAGGCUCUGGCCAGCCGGCAGGGCGGGCACUGCAGGCACCCAGACCUAUGCUGCUCCCGGAGGCUGUCCCACCCUCAAAGCAUCCGACAGCCUCAGGGCCACACUCAGCCCCUGACCUACCAGGGUCUCUGGCACCCUCACCCCAGGCCCUGGCUGCGUGGAGGCCCAAAGGCCAGGUUUAGUGGUGAGAGAACCAGGAUGCAGAACCCUACCCCUACCUCUACCCCACCCCUACCCCCUAACCCCAACCCCAACCCCAACCCUAACCCUAAGGCCUGAGGAGGGGACUGGACAUUGGAGCCCAGGUCCGGCUUUGUCACACCCAUCUCUGGCCCAAGGUGGGGGGUGGGGAGGGGGUCUGCCUGGCCUGGGACCAAAGGAGUGGAGUCCCUGUGGGCUCAGAAAUGGGGGAGAAUAGAGACGGGGAAGGAACCAAAAGCUGGACCCCCUCAGGAAAAGCCCUCAGGAAGCACCCCUUUCCUGAUUCUGUAGAUUUACAGCGCAGGAGGGCUGAGCUCUGUUUAGGGGGUCAGGACCAGCAUUAGAAAGCCAAGAGUUGGGGGGUUCCUGUCGUGGCUCAGUGGUUAACGAAUCUGACCAGUAUCCAUGAGGACGUGGGUUCGAUCCCUGGCAUCGCUCAGUGGGUUAAAGAUCUGGCGUUGCCGUCAGCAGUGGUGCAGGUCACAGACGAGGCUCAGAUCCCAUGUUGCUGUGGCUGUGAUGUAGGCUGGCAGCUACAGCUCCGAUUAGACCCCUAGGCUGGGAAUCUCCAUAUGCCACGGGGUCCGGCCCUAAAAAGACAAAAAAAUUUUUAAAAAUUAAAAAAUUUUUAAAAAGCAAACAGUUGGAGUCCCCUGGUGGCUCCACAGGCUAAGGACACGUCAUUGGAUCCACUGAGGUGGCUCAGGUUGAUACCUGUGCCGGUAACUUUCGCAUGCUGAGGGUGCGGCCACACAAAACAAAACAAGAUAAGCACAAAGAUACAUAACUAUAAUACGUGCUAAGUGAGGACGACAGGUGCCCACAGGCCCUGUGGGGACAGGGAUUUCCGACUCCCCGACCUGUUCCUGGCCCCCCUCAUUUCACGUCUUUGUCCCUAAGUUUCUCCCGUCACCUCUUCUUUCCCUCUUCCCUCUUCUUCCCAAUCCGGGGUGAGUCUUCUCCAUCCAGGCCCCUCGCGGGCCCAUCCUUCCCCACCUCCUCCACACGCUCCCCACUCGCUGACCUGGGCAGAGACCGCAGCCCCCCAACUCCUUUGCUUCCACCUCGGCCAGUGUCCCAGGCC